CAUGUACUCCCUCCGUUCGGAAUUACUUGUCUCGGAAAUGGAUGUAUCUAGAACUAAAAUACGUCUAGAUACAUCCAUUUCUGCGACAAUUAAUUCCGAACGGAGGUCUAGAUACAUCCAUUUCCGAGACAAGUAAUUCCGAACGGAGGGAGUACCUC
rnacentral:pre_miRNA from 1 species